GAUGAACGCUGGCGGCGUGCUUAACACAUGCAAGUCGAACGGUGAAGCACUGCUUGCUCUGUGUAUCAGUGGCGAACGGGUGAGUAACACACGAGCAACCUGCCCCCUACACUGGGAUAAGCGCUGGAAACGGCGUCUAAUACUGGAUAUGAGCUCCCCCCGCACGGUCAGCAGUUGGAAAGAUUUUUCGGUCUGGGAUGGGCCCACGGCCUAUCCGCUUUUUGGUGAGGUAAUGGCUCACCAAGGGGUCGACGGGUAGCCGGCCUGGGGGGGGUACCGGCCAAACGGGGACGGGGAAACGGCCCAGAUUCCAACGGGAGGAAGAGGGGGGGAUAUUGGCACAAGGGGGGAAGGCCUGAUGCAGCAGCGCGGGGUGGGGAAGGAGGGCUUUCGGGUGGAAAACGCUUUUUAGCAGGGAAGAAGCGAAGGGGACGGAACCGGCAGAAAAGACGCCGGCUAACUACGU
rnacentral:rRNA from 1 species